rnacentral:rRNA from 1 species
GACGAACGCUGGCGGCGUGCUUACCCAUGCCAGUCGAACGGAAAGGCCCUGCUUUUGUGGGGUGCUCGAGUGGCGAACGGGUGAGUAACACGUGAGUAACCUGCCCUUGACUUUGGGAUAACUUCAGGAAACUGGGGCUAAUACCGGAUAGGAGCUCCUGCUGCAUGGUGGGGGUUGGAAAGUUUCGGCGGUUGGGGAUGGACUCGCGGCUUAUCAGCUUGUUGGUGGGGUAGUGGCUUACCAAGGCUUUGACGGGUAGCCGGCCUGAGAGGGUGACCGGCCACAUUGGGACUGAGAUACGGCCCAGACUCCUACGGGAGGCAGCAGUGGGGAAUAUUGCACAAUGGGCGGAAGCCUGAUGCAGCAACGCCGCGUGCGGGAUGACGGCCUUCGGGUUGUAAACCGCUUUCGCCUGUGACGAAGCGUGAGUGACGGUAAUGGGUAAAGAAGCACCGGCUAACUACGUG